rnacentral:rRNA from 1 species
GAAUUCAACUCCUACGGGAGGCAGCAGUGGGGAAUAUUGGACAAUGGGCGCAAGCCUGAUCCAGCCAUGCCGCGUGAGUGAAGAAGGCCUUCGGGUUGUAAAGCUCUUUUGUCAGGGGAGAAACGGUAGUAGCUAGUAUCUAUUACUAAUGACGGUACCUGAAGAAUAAGCACCGGCUAACUACGUGCCAGCAGCCGCGGUAAUACGUAGGGUGCAAGCGUUAAUCGGAAUUACUGUGCGUAAAGCGUGCGCAGGCGGUUGUGUAAGUCAGAUGUGAAAUCCCCGGGCUCAACCUGGGAAUUGCAUUUGAGACUGCACGGCUAGAGUGUGUCAGAGGGGGGUAGAAUUCCACGUGUAGCAGUGAAAUGCGUAGAUAUGUGGAGGAAUACCGAUGGCGAAGGCAGCCCCCUGGGAUAACACUGGCGCUCAUGCACGAAAGCGUGGGGAGCAAACAGGAUUAGAAACCCUAGUAGUCCAGGCGUU